GUUCAAAUAGUUUAAUAAAAAAUUUAAGUUUGUGGUACUUAAGAUGUAAAGUUUACUUUGGACU
rnacentral:tRNA from 1 species